rnacentral:rRNA from 1 species
GGUUCUAUUUUGUUGGUUUCUAGGACCGCCGUAAUGAUUAAUAGGGACAGUCGGGGGCAUCAGUAUUCAGCGGCCAGAGGUGAAAUUCUCGGAUUCGCUGAAGACUAACUUAUGCGAAAGCAUUCACCAAGGAUGUCUCCUUUAAUCAAGAACGAAAGUUGGGGGAUCGAAGACGAUCAGAUACCGUCGUAGUCUCAACCAUAAACUAUGCCGACUAGGGAUGAGUGAACGUUGCAUUUUCGACUUCAUUCGCACCUUAUGAGAAAUCAAAGUCUUUGGGUUCCGGGGGGAGUAUGGUCGCAAGGCUGAAACUUAAAGGAAUUGACGGAAGGGCACCACCAGGAGUGGAGCCUGCGGCUUAAUUUGACUCAACACGGGAAAACUUACCAGGUCCAGACACAAUAAGGAUUGACAGAUUGAGAG